AAAGCGCGCGUAGGUGGUUUGUUAAGUUGGAUGUGAAAUCCCCGGGCUCAACCUGGGAACUGCAUCCAAAACUGGCAAGCUAGAGUAUGGUAGAGGGUGGUGGAAUUUCCUGUGUAGCAGUGAAAUGCGUAGAUAUGCGGAGGAACACCGAUGGCGAAGGCAAUCCCCUGGACCUGUACUGACGCUCAUGCACGAAAGCGUGGGGAGCAAACAGGAUUAGAUACCCCUGU
rnacentral:rRNA from 1 species